rnacentral:rRNA from 1 species
UUGGAGUUUGAUUCCCUGCUCAGAAUGAACGCUGGCGGCAGGCUUAACACAUGCAAGUCGAGGCGGGGAAGAGUAGCUGCUACUUGACCUAGCGGCGGACGGGUGAGUAAUGCUUAGGAAUCUGCCUAUUAGUGGGGGACAACAUCUCGAAAGGGAUGCUAAUACCGCAUACGUCCUACGGGAGAAAGCAGGGGACCUUUCGGGCCCUUGCGCUAAUAGAUGAGCCUAAGUCGGAUUAGCUAGUUGGUGGGGUAAAGGCCUACCAAGGCGACGAUCUGUAGCGGGUCUGAGAGGAUGAUCCGCCACACUGGGACUGAGACACGGCCCAGACUCCUACGGGAGGCAGCAGUGGGGAAUAUUGGACAAUGGGGGGAACCCUGAUCCAGCCAUGCCGCGUGUGUGAAGAAGGCCUUUUGGUUGUAAAGCACUUUAAGCGAGGAGGAGGCUACCGAGAUUAAUACUCUUGGAUAGUGGACGUUACUCGCAGAAUAAGCACCGGCUAACUCUGUGCCAGCAGCCGCGGUAAUACAGAGGGUGCAAGCGUUAAUCGGAUUUACUGGGCGUAAAGCGCGCGUAGGUGGCCAAUUAAGUCAAAUGUGAAAUCCCCGAGCUUAACUUGGGAAUUGCAUUCGAUACUGGUUGGCUAGAGUAUGGGAGAGGAUGGUAGAAUUCCAGGUGUAGCGGUGAAAUGCGUAGAGAUCUGGAGGAAUACCGAUGGCGAAGGCAGCCAUCUGGCCUAAUACUGACACUGAGGUGCGAAAGCAUGGGGAGCAAACAGGAUUAGAUACCCUGGUAGUCCAUGCCGUAAACGAUGUCUAUCUAGCCGUUGGGGCCUUUGAGGCUUUAGUGGCGCAGCUAACGCGAUAAGUAGACCGCUGGGAAAAACUGA